UAUGUGUAACUUGAUAACAAGCAGUGUGCAGUGUGAAUAAAAAUCAAGUAAAAUCUUUUACCUGAUUUUUAUUUACAUAGAUUUAUUUUUAUUCCUUACAUAUCCAGAAUCCCAAACUCGAGAUGUGCGCAUAUACCGACCGAUUCGAUUUAUCGAUUCAUAAAAGUUGCAGCUAAAUCAUCACCUUCAUCAUAUCUCUAGGAAAUGUAGUCAAAUCGAUUUUUUUAAAUUAAAAUCUUUGUAACCAUCGAUUAGGGUAAAGUCUUUUGUCGAUUUGAUCAAUAAGCACACCUCUACAAGAAGUGUUUAGUUCGGCGGCGGCGGCGCUUGCACCUUCCCGCAUUCCCGCCAAUUGUUCACACGCUUUCCGCAAGACAUAAUAGAAAAUUGUUUGUAAAGUUUUUGAUUGCUGUUGUUAGUGUGUUUUUACCAGACCAAAAUGCUAUCUUGGGAUAUCAUUGUUUGGACUAGCGAAAAUGCAAUAGAUUUUGUUCCUUCCAUUUGGAAAAAUGAAGACGGAACGGCAUAUAAGUACUCAUGUGGUAUGUCAGAUCACACAAAACGACAGUUCAUUUAUGAAUGCAAAGAUUUAACAAAAAAUUACAUCUGGUGCAACGCCAAAAUUAAAAAGACGCAGAUAAGUAUUUUAAAAAAGGCGAAGAAUCUCUGUAGAAAAGGAGAAGAAAACUUGGAAAGUAGUGAUGAGGAUGAAGAUAAUUGCACGGUUAGGAAACGUAAACCGAAUAAGAGAUUUAUCGAAGACAGUAGCAGUAAUGAUGCAGAUCUGCCAAGUAAAAAAACUGUCACAGAGAUAAUGAAAAUAUUUCCGCUUCACAAGGAAAAAAAAUUUCAAGUCCCCUGCUCCAAUAAAAUAGCACCACGUCCAAUCUCACAGUCAUCAGUUUUCAAUGAUUCUCGAUCCACACUGACAAUGACCUCGACCUCUACCAUGGUAUCACCUAAUAUUAUUGACCACACUAAUGACAUACGUUCAGAAGAGAGUAUGGGGGCAGAUAAGAGAUUUACAAAAAUUCUCUAUUUUAUGGAAGAAGUCAACAAGAAAUUAAAUAACCUAGAAAAUAUUGUUCUUGGGCAGGCUUCAUGCGGAACUUCAACUUUUAACAACAACAACAACAGUGUUAACCCAUUCUCUCUACCUGUAGGAAGCACAUAGGACUUAGAUAACCUAAAUGAUACAAUAAAGAAUGAUAUCAAACUAUUCAAUGAACUUGUGCACGGACUUUUCCUUCUUGGUGGGGAGGAUUCUCACAAGGCGGUAUUCGCAAUGCUUAAUAAAUUAAUUACUAAAGAUCUGGCCCUUAAAUAUUCCGGCUGUGGAAAAAAAAAGAAGUUGGCAUUUUUUUCGUUGAAAAGCAUUUUUGAUGCAAUAAGUGCCGCAUUGCGUAAGAGAUUUCCCUCUGUGCUGGACAUCGACAUUAAAAAAUCAAUUGGUGUAUUUUGGCAUCAGCCAAAUCCAGGUUGAAUAAGAAUUAAUGUGUAAUAUUAAUAUGUAAUAUUUUUGUUUUGUUUUUUGUUUUAGUAUUUAUUUGUUUUGUAAUACUUUAAGAAGUUUACAUACUGGGUGAGUCAUUGAUAUAGGCGUGCUCGAUUACACCUACGGAUUUUUAAAGCCUAAAAAAGUGCAAAUUGAAAUAUGUAAAAACAUACAGGGGGUGCCAUUUAAAAAAACUAUGUUAUAGGCUGCACUGUACAAAUGGAGCACCCUGUUUAGAGCAAAAUACGUUUAUAAAAUGCACUUUGACCUCCCAAUUGCAGUGCCCUUUGACUCAUUUCAAUAUCAUUGACGGUGUAGGUCUAAUCAAGCAUGCCUAGAUGAAGGACUUACCCUGUAUAUUUUUGAAUUGUUUUUUUUUUAGUUUACAAAACUGUAAUAAACAUAAUAUACAGUUUAGCAUUUA